rnacentral:snoRNA from 1 species
AUUUGAUGAUGUGGACAUUGUAUUUGUAACUCCCCCAAUCUUUCCCAAACUUCAAAGAAUUCUUCCGUAUGUUUUUGUCUAAAAGUUUGAAUCUUUUUUUCUUAACU